rnacentral:rRNA from 1 species
GAUGAACGCUGGCGGCGUGCCUAACACAUGCAAGUCGAGCGAAGAUAGAGACGAGUACUUGUACAAAUUUUUAUCUUAGCGGCGGACGGGUGAGUAACACGUGAGUAACCUGCCUUUCACUGGGGAAUAACAUCGAGAAAUCGGUGCUAAUACCGCAUAAUGUCACGAGAUCGCAUGGUUUUGUGACCAAAGGAGCAAUCCGGUGAUAGAUGGACUCGCGUCCGAUUAGAUAGUUGGUGAGGUAACGGCCCACCAAGUCAACGAUCGGUAGCCGAACUGAGAGGUUGAUCGGCCACAUUGGGACUGAGGCACGGCCCAGACUCCUACGGGAGGCAGCAGUGGGGAAUAUUGGGCAAUGGGCGAAAGCCUGACCCAGCAACGCCGCGUGAAGGAAGAAGGUCUUCGGAUUGUAAACUUCUUUGAUCAGGGACGAAUAAAUGACGGUACCUGAAGAACAAGCCACGGCUAACUACGUGCCAGCAGCCGCGGU